GAUGAAGAACGUAGCGAAAUGCGAUAAGUAAUGUGAAUUGCAGAAUUCAGUGAAUCAUCGAAUCUUUGAACGCAGAUUGCGCCCGCCAGUAUUCUGGCGGGCAUGCCUGUUCGAGCGUCAUUACAACCCUCAGGCCCCCGGGCCUGGCGUUGGGGAUCGGCGGAGCCCCCCGUGGGCACACGCCGUCCCCCAAAUGCAGUGGCGGUCCCGCCGCAGCUUCCAUCGCGUAGUAGCUAACACCUCGCGACUGGAGAGCGGCGCGGCCACGCCGUAAAACACCCAACUCUUCUGAAGUUGACCUCGAAUCAGGUAGGAAUACCCGCUGAACUUAAGCAUAUCAAUAAGCGGAGGAA
rnacentral:misc_RNA from 1 species